UACGGGGGGGCAAGCGUUGUUCGGAAUUACUGGGCGUAAAGGGCGCGUAGGCGGCCUUCUAAGUCGGACGUGAAAUCCCUCGGCUUAACCGAGGAACUGCGUCCGAUACUGGAAGGCUUGAAUCCGGGAGAGGGAUGUGGAAUUCCAGGUGUAGCGGUGAAAUGCGUAGAUAUCUGGAAGGAACACCGGUGGCGAAGGCGGCAUCCUGGACCGGCAUUG
rnacentral:rRNA from 1 species